rnacentral:rRNA from 1 species
AUACGAAGGUCCCAAGCGUUAUUCGGAAUCACUGGGCGUAAAGAUUACGUAGGCGGUUUGGUAAGUCAGGUGUGAAAUCCCGGAGCUCAACUCCGGAACUGCAUCCGAUACUGCCAGACUUGAGUAAUGGAGAGGCAGGUGGAAUUCUCGGUGCAGCAGUGAAAUGCGUGGAUAUCGAGAGGAAGACCAAUGGCGAAGGCAGCCUGCUGGACAUUUACUGACGCUGAGGUACGAAGGCUAGGGGAGCGAAAGGGAUUAGAAACCCGAGUAGUCC